UACGGAGGGGGCAAGCGUUGUUCGGAUUUACUGGGCGUAAAGGGUGUGUAGGCGGUUGCGUAAGUCUGGUGUGAAAUCUUCAUCGCUCAACGGGAAGAGGUCACUGGAAACUGCGUAACUCGAGUGUGGUAGAGGCAAGCGGAAUUCCUGGUGUAGCGGUGGAAUGUGUAGAUAUCAGGAAGAACAUCGGUGGCGAAGGCGGCUUGCUGGGCCAUUACUGACGCUGAGACACGAAAGCGUGGGGAGCAAACGGG
rnacentral:rRNA from 1 species